GAAAAUAUUGCGAUGAUGACGAACAGAAAACGUUAAAUUAUUGACGUGAACACAGAAGAAAUAGCUAAAGUCGUGCCAACCAUAAAUAAUACAUGUAGCGUAAAUGCUAAGGUUGGAGAUCAAAUUUCGUGCCAGUUAAAGAUCGAUGAUGGGUUAGAUAUAGAAGUUUUGAACAAUGCAAAUAAAACAACAACAUAUAACAGAACGUCAAAGACGCUCUAUUUCAGACAAAAAGAUGAUCGUCCACACAACAUAUGGUUUGUUGCAAUCAACGCCGACAGAAAGCAAUCUCAGCAGCACACUAUACAGGUACAACUAUGCACUGGUUGCCGUGGCAACGGACGCUGCUCCACGACAGUGCGGCCGGACCCUCGAGAGAAUGC